ensembl:snRNA U6 U6 spliceosomal RNA
GCUUGCUUCUGCAGUCUUUCUACUACAAUUGAAACAAUAUUGGGAAGAUUAGCAUAGUUCCUGCAUAAAAUUGGUAUGCAAAUUAAUGAAGAGAUCCACAUUUUU